rnacentral:rRNA from 1 species
AUAAACGCUGGCGGCGUGCCUUAUGCAUGCAAGUCGCGCGACGAACCGGCUUCGGCCGGGGAAAGCGGCGGACGGGUGAGUAACACGUAGGAACCUGCCCGAAAGUGGGGGACAACUCCGGGAAACCGGGGCUAAUACCGCAUACGGUCUACGGACCAAAGCUUCGGCGCUUUCGGAGGGGCCUGCGGCGGAUUAGCUAGUUGGUGGGGUAACGGCCUACCAAGGCGACGAUCCGUAGCUGGUCUGAGAGGACGGCCAGCGACACUGGGACUGAGACACGGCCCAGACUCCUACGGGAGGCAGCAGCAAGGAAUUUUCCGCAAUGGGCGAAAGCCUGACGGAGCAACGCCGCGUGGGGGAAGAAGGCUCUCGAGUUGUAAACCCCUUUUGCGAGGGAAGAAGAUCUGACGGUACCUCGCGAAUAAGCCACGGCUAACUACGU